rnacentral:rRNA from 1 species
UGAACGCUGGCGGCGUGCUUAACGACAGUGCAAAGUCGAACGAGGAAUACCGAUGAAGUUUCGGAUGGAUUCAGUAUCCGAGUGGCGACGGGUGAGUAACGCGUGGGUAACCUGCCCUGUACAGGGGGAUAACAGUUGGAAACGACUGUAAUACCGCAUAAGACCACAGCACCGCAUGGUGCAGGGGGUAAAAAACUCCGGUGGUACAGGAUGGACCCGCGUCCAAUUAGCUAGUUGGUGAGGUAACGGCCCACCAAGGCGACGAUUGGUAGCCGAUCUGAGAGGAUGACCGGCCACAUUGGGACUGAGACACGGCCCAAACUCCUACGGGAGGCAGCAGUGGGGAAUAUUGCACAAUGGGGGAAACCCUGAUGCAGCCGACGCCGCGUGAGUGAUGAAGUAUUUCGGUAUGUAAAGCUCUAUCAGCAGGGAAGAAAAUGACGGUACCUGAGUAAGAAGCCCCGGCUAACUACGUGCCAGCAGCCGC